ACUCAUCCAGGAUAUCAGAGAAAUAUGGCCUCUUAAUAGCUUCCACCUGGAAUGAGAAGGGAGAACUGAAGAGGACAUCCCAGACAGUGUAGAUGCUGAAAUGCCAGUACCAAGUGGAGCAUUUGGAAUUAACACCUCUAAACAAAAGAGUCGCUUCUUGUUUUGUUGGUGCAACCAAAAUUUUGAUAAACAGAGGAUUCCAUUUGUGUACUGA